rnacentral:rRNA from 1 species
CAGCAGUGGGGAAUAUUGCACAAUGGGGGAAACCCUGAUGCAGCGACGCCGCGUGGAGGAAGAAGGUCUUCGGAUUGUAAACUCCUGUUGUUGAGGAAGAUAAUGACGGUACUCAACAAGGAAGUGACGGCUAACUACGUGCCAGCAGCCGCGGUAAAACGUAGGUCACAAGCGUUGUCCGGAAUUACUGGGUGUAAAGGGAGCGCAGGCGGGAAGACAAGUUGGAAGUGAAAUCUAUGGGCUCAACCCAUAAACUGCUUUCAAAACUGUUUUUCUUGAGUAGUGCAGAGGUAGGCGGAAUUCCCGGUGUAGCGGUGGAAUGCGUAGAUAUCGGGAGGAACACCAGUGGCGAAGGCGGCCUACUGGGCACCAACUGACGCUGAGGCUCGAAAGUGUGGGUAGCAAACAGGAUUAGAUACCCUGGUAGUCCACACCGUAAACGAUGAUUACUAGGUGUUGGAGGAUUGACCCCUUCAGUGCCGCAGUUAACACAAUAAGUAAUCCACCUGGGGAGUACGACCGCAAGGUUGAAACUCAAAGGAAUUGACGGGGGCCCGCACAAGCAGUGGAGUAUGUGGUUUAAUUCGACGCAACGCGAAGAACCUUACCAAGUCUUGACAUCCCUUGACGAUGCUGGAAACAGUAUUUCUCUUCGGAGCAAGGAGACAGGUGGUGCAUGGUUGUCGUCAGCUCGUGUCGUGAGAUGUUGGGUUAAGUCCCGCAACGAGCGCAACCCUUAUGGUCAGUUACUACGCAAGAGGACUCUGGCCAGACUGCCGUUGACAAAACGGAGGAAGGUGGGGAUGACGUCAAAUCAUCAUGCCCUUUAUGACUUGGGCUACACACGUACUACAAUGGCGUUAAACAAAGAGAAGCAAGACCGCGAGGUGGAGCAAAACUCAGAAACAACGUCCCAGUUCGGACUGCAGGCUGCAACUCGCCUGCACGAAGUCGGAAUUGCUAGUAAUCGUGGAUCAGCAUGCCACGGUGAAUACGUUCCCGGGCCUUGUACACACCGCCCGUCACACCAUGAGAGCCGGGGGGACCCGAAGUCGGUAGUCUAACCGCAAGGAGGACGCCGCCGAAGGUAAAACUGGUGAUUGGGGUGAAGUCGUAACAAGGUAGCCGUAGGAGAACCUGCGGCUG